CGCAAAUACACUACACACUGUAUACGAUAUUAUUGUAUAUUAUAGUGUUCACAUUAAACGCGUGCACCCGAUAGCAAGUGUGCGGUGGGCGUGCGGCGGACGAUUAAAAAUCGCUUACACGCCACUGCACGGCGAGCGGCGACGUUCCGUUACCCCGGUGAGUGGUGACCCGAUACGGAGUUUACACACGUCACGAGAGAGGAGAUUGUAUAAUAUACUGCAAGUGCGCGU